rnacentral:rRNA from 1 species
AACGAACGCUGGCGGCAUGCCUAACACAUGCAAGUCGAACGAGACCUUCGGGUCUUGUGGCGCACGGGUGCGUAACGCGUGGGAACCUGCCCUUAGGUUCGGAAUACCUCCCCGAAAGGGGUGCUAAUACCGGAUAAUGUCUUAGGACCAAAGAUUUAUCGCCUUUGGAUGGGCCCGCGUUGGAUUAGCUAGUUGGUAGGGUAAAAGCCUACCAAGGCGACGAUCCAUAGCUGGUCUGAGAGGAUGAUCAGCCACACUGGGACUGAGACACGGCCCAGACUCCUACGGGAGGCGGCAGUGGGGAAUAUUGGACAAUGGGCGAAGGCCUGAUCCAGCAAGGCCGCGUGAGUGAUGAAGGCCUUAGAGUUGUAAAGCGCUUUUACCCGGGAUGAUAAUGACAGUACCGGGAGAAUAAGCUCCGGCUAACUCCGUG